rnacentral:rRNA from 1 species
GCUGACGAGUGGCGGACGGGUGAGUAAUGUCUGGGAAACUGCCUGAUGGAGGGGGAUAACUACUGGAAACGGUGGCUAAUACCGCAUAACGUCGCAAGACCAAAGAGGGGGACCUUCGGGCCUCUUGCCAUCAGAUGUGCCCAGAUGGGAUUAGCUUGUUGGUGAGGUAACGGCUCACCAAGGCGACGAUCCCUAGCUGGUCUGAGAGGAUGACCAGCCACACUGGAACUGAGACACGGUCCAGACUCCUACGGGAGGCAGCAGUGGGGAAUAUUGCACAAUGGGCGCAAGCCUGAUGCAGCCAUGCCGCGUGUAUGAAGAAGGCCUUCGGGUUGUAAAGUACUUUCAGCGGGGAGGAAGGUGUUGUGGUUAAUAACCGCAGCAAUUGACGUUACCCGCAGAAGAAGCACCGGCUAACUCCGUGCCAGCAGCCGCGGUAAUACGGAGGGUGCAAGCGUUAAUCGGAAUUACUGGGCGUAAAGCGCACGCAGGCGGUCUGUCAAGUCGGAUGUGAAAUCCCCGGGCUCAACCUGGGAACUGCAUUCGAAACUGGCAGGCUUGAGUCUUGUAGAGGGGGGUAGAAUUCCAGGUGUAGCGGUGAAAUGCGUAGAGAUCUGGAGGAAUACCGGUGGCGAAGGCGGCCCCCUGGACAAAGACUGACGCUCAGGUGCGAAAGCGUGGGGAGCAAACAGGAUUAGAUACCCUGGUAGUCCACGCCGUAAACGAUGUCUACUUGGAGGUUGUGCCCUUGAGGCGUGGCUUCCGGAGCUAACGCGUUAAGUAGACCGCCUGGGGAGUACGGCCGCAAGGUUAAAACUCAAAUGAAUUGACGGGGGCCCGCACAAGCGGUGGAGCAUGUGGUUUAAUUCGAUGCAACGCGAAGAACCUUACCUGGUCUUGACAUCCACGGAAGUUUUCAGAGAUGAGAAUGUGCCUUCGGGAACCGUGAGACAGGUGCUGCAUGGCUGUCGUCAGCUCGUGUUGUGAAAUGUUGGGUUAAGUCCCGCAACGAGCGCAACCCUUAUCCUUUGUUGCCAGCGAUUAGGUCGGGAACUCAAAGGAGACUGCCAGUGAUAAACUGGAGGAAGGUGGGGAUGACGUCAAGUCAUCAUGGCCCUUACGACCAGGGCUACACACGUGCUACAAUGGCGCAUACAAAGAGAAGCGACCUCGCGAGAGCAAGCGGACCUCAUAAAGUGCGUCGUAGUCCGGAUUGGAGUCUGCAACUCGACUCCAUGAAGUCGGAAUCGCUAGUAAUCGUGGAUCAGAAUGCCACGGUGAAUACGUUCCCGGGCCUUGUACACACCGCCCGUCACACCAUGGGAGUGGGUUGCAAAAGAAGUAGGUAGCUUAACCUUCGGGAGGGCGCUUACCACUUUGUGAUUCAUGACUGGGGUGAAGUCGUAACAAGGUAACCGUAGGGGAACCUGCGGUUGGAUCACCUCCUUACCUUAAAGAA